UACGGAGGGUGCGAGCGUUGUCCGGAAUCACUGGGCGUAAAGGGCGCGUAGGUGGCCUGUUGAAGUCUGCGGUGAAAGCCCGGCGCUCAACGCCGGGUCGGCCGUGGAUACUCUCGGGCUCGAGCUUACUAGAGGCAGAUGGAAUUCCGGGUGUAGCGGUGGAAUGCGUAGAGAUCCGGAAGAACACCGGUGGCGAAGGCGGUCUGCUGGGGUAAUGCUGACACUGAUGCGCGACAGCGUGGGGAGCAAACAGG
rnacentral:rRNA from 1 species